UUUUUUUUUUUUUUCGGUGGUGUACCCUGAAAUUGCUGCGACCCAAGUGGGUUAUUAGGGUUAAAAACCCGAAGCAUAGUUCAGAUGAUUUCUUUUGUGAUUAACAAAAUCUCUGCACGUCUUUCAUAGAAAAGCUAAACGUCGAUUGCUCUCGUAAUCCCUUUCUCGAAUUUUACCCAAAAUUUGGGUUUUUCCCGUAGGAUGUUGAAGAGCGUUGUUAGCUUCAUCUACCUCUCUGCCGUUGUUAGCUUCAAAGGUUGAAGAAACCUCAUAUGCAAGUAGACAAGAAUUUGAUACUGUUUGAAUACUUCCUUUUUUGCUGUCUCACCCAGUUGUUGAGUGACAGCAAUCAGAAGAAGGCCAGCACGUUGUAGGCAAAUUAGUAGCAAAAACAGGAUAAUAAAACAUUUCAGGCACUUGGAAAUGAAAGAUUUGGAUUUUAAACUGGCGUAGGCUUUUCUGCAUGGUCAAGAGUAGGAU